ensembl:lincRNA Gm16386 predicted gene 16386
GAAUGCAUUACGCGGUCCGUAACCGUGGGCUGGUUUCCCAGAGAGAACCGGUGUCCUAGAUCUCUCUGGACCCCGGGAAACUCUCCUCAGACCGGGUUUCCUNNNNNNGUGUCCCACUCCUCAGCCAGUUCUGCUCACCUGUGAGUCUGAACCAAGAGCCCUGGGUGGUGAGAGAAGAAGCUGUAGCAAAGGAUCCAGAGUUGCCAUGGACACGGAGUCUCUUCACAGCAGUCAACUCUAACUAAGACAACAUUCAUCAAGGAGCUCCUUUCCCAAAACACAGUAUUGUUUCAACAUGUAUUUAUCUUGCCUUCUGCAUGGCACACAGUUAAGGUAUGUAUUAGAAAGUUUUUGUUAAUUCUUCUGAUCAUCCACAAAAGGAUAUUUCAUCAACAACAAUAAGCCUCUGCUGAGAGUGUCAUUCUGGAGAAUUGUUAGUUUACUAAUGGUAACAAAUAUAACCAGAAAUUGAUUAUUGGAUAUUUUCAGUAGUGCAACAAUCUCUAUUAGCUUUAUUUGUAUUCAUUUUCCAGUGAAUGUUCACAUAUGUGGUAAAUAUGGGCAAGUCUUAAAUAGAAGGCCCAAAGCAUUUUGCCCAUCAGUGUGUGAAUACCCAAGAAGUCUUACACACAUAAUGAUCUUGGGAAUGAUUUAUGAAUCCUCACAGUGUAUACUUUUUUUUAACACAAAUGAUACUACAGAAAAUUGUAAUAAAUGCUGACAUAUUAACUAUAGAUAUUAUUCUAUUGACACAUUAAGCAUGAACAGUCAUAAAAAGUUUGCAUAUUGGAGAAGGACUUUAUGAAUAUAAAGACUGACAAGUGUUUUAAUUUGUAUUCAAACAUCAAAGUCCAAUAAUAAACCCACCCUAGACAACAGUGCACAAAAGAAGAGACUGAUAACUACUUUGAUACUAAGUACAACUUGUGAUAAAAACAAAUCUAUAUUGGAAAAAAACCUACCAAUGCAGGAAAUUCAACAACAAUGGACUGCCUUCCAGAGAGAACGUGACAGGGAUAAGCUCCCAGCCUUCUCCAAAGCUGAAAGCCAACUACAAUUAAAUGUUUUCCUUUAUGAGAUGGGUAGUGGUCAUGGAGUCUCUUCACAUAUACUCUUAGCUGCCUAUGAGACAGUCUUCUGUUUGCCUUCAGAACAAGAUGUAGAACUCUCAGCUCCUCCAGCACCAUGCCUGGCUGGAUGCUGCUAUGCUCCCUGCCAUGAUGAUAAUGGACUGAACCUUCGAACCUAUAUGACUACACCUAUUAAAUAUCC